AAUCCACUGGGAAAGGCAAGAGGAAAGCUGGUUUAGUGUGGAAGGUUGUGAGAAUUAGUUUAGUCUUAAACUGAGUUUAAGUGUCCCGAGGCCCAAAUACAUCAGAGUAAUCAGCACAGUGAAAGCUUUGCGAGCGUAGCUGCAUUUAAUUAGAAUGCACUAUUUUAAUAAUAAAAUAAGCCACACUCGCAUCAGCCAGAAAUAUUGUCAACCGUAACUCAAUACCAUACAUAACAGCAACCGACAGUUUUAGUCUUGGAAACGAUCAAAUUAAUUCAAUGCUACUGCACUUCACCCCAUACUCCCCCGGGAGCAGAUGGUGCUAUGUUUAAGCCAUCGGAGUGAAAAGUGCAUGGGACGUUAGCAACAUGUAUAGACUCUAGUGUUAGGAGGUAGGGAAGCAAAUGCCUACUGUAGCUUAAUAAUAAUCCAUUACAAGCCAAACUGGCACUAACAGAACUCUCUCUCUCUAUCUCUCUCCUCUCAGAAGGCUGAGAAACUUCCCUGAGUAACAAAGAGUCACAAUGGGAUACCUACCAACACUCCUGUCGUUCUCUGCCCAGAGCAGACAACCCAAAGGAUGCCAGCACUCAAGACAAAGCACCUGGAAUGCUGAUCUGGGCCAGGAGAAAGAAAGGAAAAAAACAAUCCCUUCUGCAGGACGAUGGUUCUUGGCAUGGGUUCAUCUCUCAGGGUGUUUUAACAUAUAGUCCUCUUUAAAAUAAUCAAUCUCAGUCCUCUUUAAAGUGAACUCUGGGGUAAAAAAAAGAAGAAGAAGCUAAAGAACUCGGUUCUCUUUGUAUUCACACUGCCCUUGCCUUUGAAUGAGGACUUUUUUGCCAGUUCACUUCACCUAUUUUGUGGUCCGAGUACACUUUGCCCUCACAUUGUUAUGUUCAGGAAGGAACCUAGAUCUUUGUCCAACAUUCACUCUGGGCUUUUACAAAGUACAGGACAAGCCAUUCCAUCAGAACGUGUUAUCGGACAGUUCGAUAUACAGUACCUAAUUACAUUUAGUUAAAAAAUGAGACAUACAGUAAUAAUUAUACUUUGAAGAUAAUAUUAACAUGUAAAUAUUAUUGGUAACAGAAUAAAUAGCAUAAGAAUACAGUAGAUUAAAUAAUGCUGUAAUUUAAAAUUGUACACCCAAUGUAGGCUACUGGCCCUUUAAGAGCUACUUUUGAUUUUGUGGUUAGUGCUUUCUGGGAUCUUUGGGACGUCCCUACCCUAAAUCCAAACAAUACCCUGGAACCAUAAACCUUAAAGCUUAACUUAACCAUUGUAAAUGUCAACUUCAAUGGGGUAAAGUCAGAGUUGGGACGUCCCAAGGUUCCAAGAUAGCAAGGACCUUGGUUUUGUACCCUAUAUUUUGAUUCUGACAAAAUAUGUUGUCUUCUCACACCUUUUCAAACCCCAAAAACGAAUAAACAGCGUAUAAAGCUUU